rnacentral:rRNA from 1 species
UACGAAGGGGGCUAGCGUUGCUCGGAAUCACUGGGCGUAAAGGGUGCGUAGGCGGGUCUUUAAGUCAGGGGUGAAAUCCUGGAGCUCAACUCCAGAACUGCCUUUGAUACUGAGGAGCUUGAGUUCGGGAGAGGUGAGUGGAACUGCGAGUGUGGAGGUGAAAUUCGUAGAUAUUCGCAAGAACACCAGUGGCGAAGGCGGCUCACUGGCCCGAUACUGACGCUGAGGCACGAAAGCGUGGGGAGCAAACAGG